AUGGUAGGAUAGAGGCCUACCAUGGUGGUAACGGGUAACGGGGUGUUAGGGCACGACACCGGAGAGGGAGCCUGAGAAACGGCUACCACAUCCAAGGAUGGCAGCAGGCGCGCAAAUUACCCAAUCCCGACACGGGGAGGUAGUGACAAUAAAUAACAAUACGGGGUUCUUUAGGAUCUCGUAAUUGGAAUGAGUACAAUUUAAAUCUCUUAACGAGGAACAAUUGGAGGGCAAGUCUGGUGCCAGCAGCCGCGGUAAUUCCAGCUCCAAUAGCGUAUAUUAAAGUUGUUGCAGUUAAAAAGCUCGUAGUUGAAUUUCGGGGUCAGUAGGUCGGUCGUGCCACUGGCAUGAACUGGUUUUACUGAUUCCUCCCUCUUGAAGAACUGUAAUGCCAUUAAUUUGGUGUUGCAGGGAAUCAGGACUGUUACUUUGAAAAAAUUAGAGUGUUUAAAGCAGGCUUUAGCUUGAAUACAUUAGCAUGGAAUAAUGAAAUAGGACGUUUGAUCCUAUUUUGUUGGUUUCUAGGAUUGACGUAAUGAUUAAUAGGGAUAGUUGGGGGCAUUAGUAUUCAAUUGCCAGAGGUGAAAUUCUUGGAUUUAUUGAAGACUAACUACUGCGAAAGCAUUUGCCAAGGAUGUUUUCAUUAAUCAAGAACGAAAGUUAGGGGAUCGAAGACGAUCAGAUACCGUCGUAGUCUUAACCAUAAACUAUGCCGACUAGGGAUCGGAUGAUGUUAAUUUUUUAAUGACUCAUUCGGCGCCUUACGGGAAACCAAAGUGUUUGGG
rnacentral:rRNA from 1 species